AUUCACUCCAGUUCAGAAGGUGGCGGUAAUGCACACGAUAAGUUGCUUGCCAACCGCCAUAAAACUCAAAAAAGAAGAAGAAGAAGAAAAAGACAAUUUGCGGCCAUGUUGAAAUGUUCGGCCACAUGUCAGCUGAGGAGAAGAAAUGGACGUCUUGUCGUGGCUUUUCUUUUACCUUUUAUUUUAAAAUAGUAACAAUAGCAAGGUACUAGGCAGUUUUUUUUGUACUUAAUGAAAAGCAGCAUCUACACACCGAUAUAUAAGGGCACACUGAGGGCCUCUCCAUGCUGGCACGAAGACCUGGACACAUGUGAUGUACAUAAAUGACUCGUAUAUGUUUUGAAAAUAAAUUCUUUAUGUGGUUUAUUUGUUUAACAUGCACCUUUGUGAAUUUUUUUUAAAAAUGUAAUUGCCCCCCAUGAUUCUGUAAUGUAAAUAUGAAUUUUUUUUAAAAUGGAUUACUAUAGUUUUCAUUUUGAACUUGUUCUCCUCGAAGUUAACUCUGAAUAUAUGAAAUAAAGAAUCAGAACUAAA